AACAAAGAAGUAAGAUUUACAUUUAGUUUCGACCUAAAUUUAGGAAAAAAUAACCCAUGUUU
rnacentral:tRNA from 1 species